GUAAGGAAUAUUGGUCAAUGGGCGGAAGCCUGAACCAGCCAUGCCGCGUGCAGGACGACGGCCCUACGGGUUGUAAACUGCUUUUGCCCGGGAAUAACCCCCCGCUCUUGAGCGGGGCUGAACGUACCGGGAGAAUAAGGAUCGGCUAACUCCGUGCCAGCAGCCGCGGUAAUACGGAGGAUCCGAGCGUUAUCCGGAUUUAUUGGGUUUAAAGGGUGCGUAGGCGGCCUGUUAAGGCAGGGGUGAAAUACGGCAGCUCAACUGUCGCAGUGCCCUUGAUACGGACGGGCUUGAAUACCGGUGAAGGCGGCGGAAUGAGACAAGUAGCGGUGAAAUGCAUAGAUAUGUCUCAGAACCCCGAUUGCGAAGGCAGCUGCCUAACCGGCGAUUGACGCUGAUGCACGAAAGCGUGGGGAUCGAACAGGAUUAGAAACCCUUGUAGUCC
rnacentral:rRNA from 1 species